rnacentral:lncRNA from 1 species
AAAGUGGCAGAAGCUGGGACCAUCCAACUCUAAAGCCCACAUUCUUAGACAUUAGGGGAUAUUGAAUGAAGUGUGUGUAUGUAUGGGGGAAUUUAAGAGAAUAUCAAACCAUUUGUAGAGUUCUACCCAAUAUAGAGACCUUAUCUAAUGUAAGAGAACUCUGAAGACAUCUCAUUGAUUGAAUGCUCUCCCCUUCAUAGCAACUUCUUCUGCGGCUUCCUUGCCUGGUGCUCCAGUCUUUGAGGGAAGCACGGCUGGCACGUUCUUCCGUUUGGAGACAUGGUUGACAAUUUCUCCAUAAUGGGGACACAACUGGCAAUUUUCCUACAGAGUGAGGCAGAUGGCAAUUUUCCUUCAGAGACAUGCAGGCAACAGUUUUGCCCCUGGAGAGAAAAGCCUCGCCGAUUGAGAUGCAGCCAGUAAUUUUUACUAUACAGAAGACACAUCCAAUAAUUUUGCCCAGUGAGAGAAACGGCCAACAAUUUUCCCACAGAGGACAGGAAAAACAGACCAAAAAUUCAUAGUGGGGAGAAGUGAGGAGCAAAUGGGCUGGUAUGACCAAGAAAGACUUAAUAAGAAGCUGAGCCUUAAAUGAUCAAGAAGCACUGGAUAGAUAAGAGCACUGUUCACAAUAGCCAAGAUUUGGAAGCAACCUAAGUGUUCACCAACUGAUGAAUGGAUAAAGAAAA